rnacentral:rRNA from 1 species
AAUGAACGUUGGCGGCGUGGAUUAGGCAUGCAAGUCGAGCGCGAAACGUAGCAAUACGUGGAAAGCGGCGAAAGGGAGAGUAAUACAUAGGUACGUACCCUUGGACCUGGGAUAGCGGCGGGAAACUGCCGGUAAUACCAGAUAAUGUCUCCGGACCAAAGGUGUGAUUCCCUCUGAGGAGCGGCCUAUGUCCUAUUAGCUAGUUGGUAAGGUAACGGCUUACCAAGGCAAAGAUGGGUAUGGGGUGUGAGAGCAUGCCCCCACUCACUGGGAUGUGGACAAUGCCCAGACACCUUCGGGUGGGUGCGGUGGAGAAUCUUCGGCAAUGGGCGCAAGUCUGACCGAGAGACGCCGCGUGCGGGAUGAAGGCCUUCGGGUUGUAAACCGCUGUCGUAGGGGAGGAAAUGCAGGUGGGUACUCCCAUCUGCUUGACUGAUCCUAGGAGGAAGGACCGGCUAAGCUCGUGCCAGCCGCCGCCGUAAAAC